CAUAUCAAUAAGCGGAGGAAG
rnacentral:rRNA from 1 species